CCUCUCCAAUGCCUCUCUGUCUACAGCCGCACCAGGGGGCUUUCCUGGAGUGAAGACACCAGAUCUUCCACCCCUGAGGUCCCAGAUGAAGAAGAACAGACUGUUGCACCUUGGGAACAUCGCUCAUUUCCCCUCUCAGACCGAGACCAUCGUGUUCUCCAGAGUUCGCCAGUAACCGCACCGAACAGAAACAGGAAUAAGCCUGAUGUGCUGUGUAACACAGGGAGCAAGUCUGGCCUCCAGGCUGAGGGCAUGGACUCUGGCAUGUCAGCAGAAGACCUCGUCACCACCUCCAAAGAUCCCCCUCUACCCAACAGCAUUUCAGUUGUUUGAUUUCGUGCCCAUAGCGGUGAGAAAAUCGCAAGCCUGGAAUAUUUUCCCACUAGGCCGGUGAACAAGAGAUGAGAGCGCCUCCUCUUUGUAAGACGUGUACGACCAGAGAAUGCAAAUCCCAUGUACUUUAUUUCAGUAUCAAGUGCUUGGCUGACUUG